AUGGGACACAAUUUACAUGCUGGAUCCGAAAUAAGAAAAAUUGUGGUGGCCCUGUCAGCGUCAGAAGCAGAGUUCACAGAUACAUUAAAAAGAGAGUUCCCGGAAGUCCGAGACACUCCCUUCCAUCUCUGCAAGGUGGAUAGGCGGAGGCGUAUAAUCCCCCUCAAUUUAACCUCUAUCUGCCCAUCUGCUAUAAAAGCCUGCCCUGAAGUUGGUAGAUUCGCCAUCUACAUUAGACCAAAUGCAAUUCAUGAAGAAGAUCCCAAGGGAGAUUCAGAAGAUGCAGUUAAUACUUUUGUUUUACUCAAUUGUCAUCAUACUCAUAAAUAUACACAAAAAUGUUACAUCAGAGCCCAUGUUUAGAGCUACUGUACUUUAUUUAAUGGGCUUGGUCAAUACUCAAUUGACUGCAAGUAGUCUUUUCAUAUAAUGGAAACAUUAAGUUGUUGUCAACCAGUUGUUCCAGUCAAACAGCACACCAUACUAUAUUAACGCAAGCUAAUGUUAUUCUUAUCGUUCAUUAAAAUUUGCUAUGGUUGAAAUUUAUAUUUUUGAAAUGCUCCCUUUCACUUUGCAGAAUUUGCCGGCAUGGAGAGCACUGAGGCAAGAGCAGGACGAGGAAUUCCAUCAAUCUUUGUCCAUUGAUCAAGAGAGGGUAAGAACAUUAAAUAACAGAAACUAUAAUAAACAUUUA
rnacentral:lncRNA from 1 species